rnacentral:snRNA from 1 species
GCGCCGGCUUCCAAAGCACAUAUACUAAAAUUGGAACGAUGCAGAGAAGAUUAGCAUGGCCCCUGCG